AUAUCAAUAAGCGGAGGAAAAGAAACUAACCAGGAUUCCCUAGUAGCGGCGAGCGAACCGGGAAUAGCCCAACUUGAAAAUCUCCGGCUUGCCGGCGAAUUGUAGUCUAUAGAAGUGUCCUCUGUGAUCCACUGGGCCCAAGUUCCCUGGAAGGGGACGUCAGAGAGGGUGAGAACCCCGUCGGUUCCGGUUGAGGUCACUCCACGAGGCGCUCUCGCAGAGUCGGGUUGUUUGGGAAUGCAGCCCAAAGCAGGUGGUAAAUCCCAUCUAAGGCUAAAUAUGGACGGGAGACCGAUAGCGCACAAGUA
rnacentral:rRNA from 1 species